AGUUCGUGGACUAAUCUGUCUGGUUAAUUCCGAUAACGAACGAGACCUUAACUUGCUAAUUGGGUAGAGUAUUAUAUACUCUAACCUUUUAGAAGGACUAUGUGUUUCCAACACAAGGAAGCGUGAGGCAAUAACAGGU
rnacentral:rRNA from 1 species